UCCCUGGUGGUCCAGUGGUUAAGACCCUGCAUUUCCACUGCAGGGGUUUUAGGUUCAAUUCCUCCUCAGGCAC
rnacentral:tRNA from 1 species